rnacentral:rRNA from 1 species
GGGCUAAUACCGAUGUGCUCAGCAGUCACUCUGUUGAGUAAGCUAUGGCGCUUUGGGAUGUGCCGCGUGCCAUCAGCUAGUUGGUAGGGUAACUGCUACCAAUGCUAAGACGGGUAGGGGGCGUGAGAGCGCGAAUCCCCACACUGGCACUGAGACACGGGCCAGACUCCUAACGGGGAGGCAGCAGUGAGGAAUANUGCGCAAUGGACGAAAGUCUGACGCAGCGACGCCGCGUGGGCGAUGAAGGCCUUCGGGUCGUAAAGCCCUUUUCUGGGGGACGAGAAAUGACGGUACCCCAUGAAUAAGCCCCGGCUAACUACGUGCCAGCAGCCGCGGUAAAACGUAGGGGGCAAGCGUUAUCCGGAUUUACUGGGCGUACAGAGCGUUGAGGCGGUUUCGUAAGUUGGGCGUGAAAGCCCUGGGCUUAACUCAGGGAAGCCGUUCAAUACUGCGACACUUGAGGGCAGCAGAAGGAGGUGGAAUUCCCGGAGUAGCGGUGAAAUGCGUAGAUAUCGGGAGGAACACCAGUGGCGAAGGCGGACUCCUGGGCUGCUCCUGACGCUUGAAGCGACAGCUAGGGGAGCGAACGGGAUUCGA